AUGAACGCUAGCUACAGGCUUAACACAUGCAAGUCGAGGGGAAACGACAUCGAAAGCUUGCUUUUGAUGGGCGUCGACCGGCGCACGGGUGAGUAACGCGUAUCCAACCUGCCCAUCACUUGGGAAUAACCUUGCGAAAGUAAGACUAAUACCCAAUGACAUCCCACGAAGACAUCUGAAUGGGAUUAAAGAUUUAUCGGUGAUGGAUGGGGAUGCGUCUGAUUAGCUUGUUGGCGGGGUAACGGCCCACCAAGGCAACGAUCAGUAGGGGUUCUGAGGGGAAGGUCCCCCACAUUGGAACUGAGACACGGUCCAAACUCCUACGGGAGGCAGCAGUGAGGAAUAUUGGUCAAUGGGCGAGAGCCUGAACCAGCCAAGUAGCGUGCAGGAUGACGGCCCUAUGGGUUGUAAACUGCUUUUAUAAGGGAAUAAAGUGGGUCUCGUGAGACUUUUUGCAUGUACCUUAUGAAUAAGGACCGGCUAAUUCCGUG
rnacentral:rRNA from 1 species